UUGCCGGCAUGGUGUUGCCCGGGAUAGGUGAGCUUCCGGUCGAGGAACUGAAGGGCUUCCGUGCCGACUGGUUCGCAGCAGCGCUCGGGAUUCAUGCCGCGAUGUCCGUUGCUUUUGGCAUCACCUAUGGCCUGCUUCUGACGAAAUUGCCGCAAAUCCCGGGGCCGGUGGCGUGGGGUGGACUGGUGCUGCCACUGCUGUGGACCGGAUACAGUUAUGGACUGAUGGGUGUUGUCAACCCGGUGCUGCAAGAGCGUGUUGAUUGGCCGUGGUUCGUUGUGUCGCAGUUCGUCUUCGGACUCGCCGCGGCGUUCGUCGUGGAGCGUUCCGAGAUGAUCUACAUCCCGCCUGCAGGCCCGGGACAGCCGCCCGAGAGGGAGCUGGCAUGAAACGCACGGCGAUGCUUCUGGUACUCCUCGCGGGCUGCGAUCUGCCCGGUCGGCCUAGGCCCGACGACCGUCCGGUGCCGGCCAAUCAGGUCGUGAAGUUCGACGCGCUCUACGGCACGCACUGCGCCGGCUGCCACGGUGCGGACGGCCGGCUUGGUCCUGCGCCGCCGCUCAACGACGCCAUAUUCCUGACCAUCGUUCCCGAUGCGGAACUACUGCGCGUCGUCACCCACGGACGACCCGGGACGCCGAUGCCCGCCUUCGCGGUGGAACAGGGAGGACCGCUCACCGCUGCGCAGGUCAAGGCGCUCGCGGAGGGUGUCAAGGCGCGCUGGAAGACGGCCCCAGCGAAGCAAUCGCCCCCGUACGCGCUUGGCAGCGGCGACGGGACGCGCGGUCGGGCCGUGUUCGCACGGGCAUGUGCCGGUUGCCACGGCGAGCAGGGGAAAGGUAAAGAGUCGAGUGCCGGCGCGAUCGCUGAUCCGGCCUUUCUGGCUCUCAUCAGCGAUCAGGCGCUGCGCCGCUACGCGAUCACCGGACGUCCCGAUCUGGAGAUGCCGGACUUCGCCAGUCACGACGGUCGGUCGGCAGACUUCAAGCCGCUCACCUCCGACGAGAUCAACGACCUCGUCGCGUUCCUUGCGUCGGGGCGAACGGCCAAAUGAGGACUCCUGCAAUGAGCGUACCUUCACGCCGAUCAUUUCUUCAGUGGUUGACGUUCGGUCUCGGCGGUGUCGGCUCGAUUCUGCUCGCGCUGCCGUUGGUCGGCUAUCUGCUCGGCAAGCGCCCGCGCCAGACGCUCUGGGUCGAUCUGGGAGUCCUGA
rnacentral:misc_RNA from 1 species